GUCGAGAAUCUUCCCCAAUGGGCGAAAGCCUGAGGGAGCGACGCCGCGUGAGGGAUGAAGGCCCUUUGGGUUGUAAACCUCUGUUAGGGGGAAAGAAAAGCGGUGGAAGCAAUAUGUCCAUUGCCUGACGUUACCCCCAGAGAAAGCUCCGGCCAACUCCGUGCCAGCAGCCGCGGUAAUACGGGGGGAGCAAGCGUUGUCCGGAAUCAUUGGGCGUAAAGGGCGUGUAGGCGGCUUGGCAAGUCGAAUGUGAAAUCCCACGGCUCAACCGUGGAACUGCGUUCGAAACUGCCUUGCUUGAGUGCGGGAGAGGUGUGCGGAAUUCCUGGUGUAGCGGUGGAAUGCGUAGAUAUCAGGAAGAACACCGGUGGCGAAGGCGGCACACUGGCCCAGCACUGACGCUGAGGCGCGAAAGCGUGGGGAGCGAACGGGAUUAGAAACCCUGGUAGUCC
rnacentral:rRNA from 1 species